UUUUUUUUGUGUUUUUCA
rnacentral:sRNA from 1 species